rnacentral:rRNA from 1 species
AACGAACGCUGGCGGCAGGCUUAACACAUGCAAGUCGAACGCUCGACCUUCGGGUCGGGAGUGGCAGACGGGUGAGUAACGCGUGGGAACGUACCCUUCGGUUCGGAAUAACCCAGGGAAACUUGGGCUAAUACCGGAUACGUCCUGGCCUGGAGACAGGGUGGGAGAAAGGUUUACUGCCGAAGGAUCGGCCCGCGUCGGAUUAGCUAGUUGGUGGGGUAACGGCCCACCAAGGCGACGAUCCGUAGCUGGUCUGAGAGGAUGAUCAGCCACACUGGGACUGAGACACGGCCCAGACUCCUACGGGAGGCAGCAGUGGGGAAUAUUGGACAAUGGGCGAAAGCCUGAUCCAGCCAUGCCGCGUGAGUGAAGAAGGCCUUAGGGUUGUAAAGCUCUUUCAGCGGGGACGAUAAUGACGGUACCCGCAGAAGAAGUCCCGGCUAACUUCGUGCCAGCAGCCGCC